rnacentral:rRNA from 1 species
GUCCACGCCCUAAACGAUGUGAGCUAGGCGUCGGGGGGCUUGCCCUUCGGUGCCGCAGCUAACGCAUUAAGCUCACCGCCUGGGGAGUACGGCCGCAAGGUUAAAACUCAAAGGAAUUGACGGGGGCCCGCACAAGCGGUGGAGCAUGUGGUUUAAUUCGACGCAACGCGCAGAACCUUACCAGCCCUUGACAUGGCGGUUACGGGCCUCUGAGAGGGGGUCCAUCAGUUCGGCUGGGCCGUCACAGGUGCUGCAUGGCUGUCGU